rnacentral:lncRNA from 1 species
CGACGGAAUAACGAGGAGGUUGAACCUUUCUGUCUAUCUAGCAUCAGAUCCCUUAACCUAGUUAACAUCUGAUUCCAGGACUGUGGUUAACGGGGGGUCUAACCUCCACUAUGUAGAGACAGGAGUUAACAUCUGAUUCCAGGACUGUGGUUAACGGGGGUCUAACCUCCACUAUGUAGACAGGAGUUAACAUCUGAUUCCAGGACUGUGGUUAACGGGGGUCUAACCUCCACUAUGUAGACAGGAGUUAACAUCUGAUUCCAGGACUGUGGUUAACGGGGGGUCCUAACCUCCACUAUGUAGAGACAGGAGUUAACAUCUCAUUCCAGGACUGUGGUUAACGGGGGUCCCUAACCUCCACUAUGUAGAGACAGGAGUUAACAUCUGAUUCCAGGACUGUGGUUAACGGGGGUCUAACCUCCACUAUGUAGAGACAGGAGUUAACAUCUGAUUCCAGGACUGUGGUUAACGGGGGGUCCCUAACCUCCACUAUGUAGAGACGGGAGUUAACAUCUGAUUCCAGGACUGUGGUUAACGGGGGUCCUAACCUCCACUAUGUAGAGACAGGAGUUAAGAUCUGAUUCCAGGACUGUGGUUAACGGGGGUCUAACCUCCACUAUGUAGAGACGGGAGUUAACAUCUGAUUCCAGGACUGUGGUUAACGGGGGGUCCCUAACCUCCACUAUGUAGAGACAGGAGUUAACAUCUGAUUCCAGGACUGUGGUUAACGGGGGUCCUAACCUCCACUAUGUAGAGACAGGAGUUAACAUCUGAUUCCAGGACUGUGGUUAACGGGGGGGGUCCCUAACCUCCACUAUGUAGAGACAGGAGUUAACAUCUGAUUCCAGGACUGUGGUUAACAGGGGGUCCCUAACCUCCACUAUGUAGAGACAGGAGUUAACAUCUGAUUCCAGGACUGUGGUUAACAGGGGGUCCCCUAACCUCCACUAUGUAGAGACAGGAGUUAACAUCUGAUUCCAGGACUGUGGUUAACGGGGGUCCUAACCUCCACUAUGUAGAGACAGGAGUUAACAUCUGAUUCCAGGACUGUGGUUAACGGGGGUCCCUAACCUCCACUAUGUAGAGACAGGAGUUAACAUCUGAUUCCAGGACUGUGGUUAACAGGGGGGGGUCCUAACCUCCACUAUGUAGAGACAGGAGUUAACAUCUGAUUCCAGGACUGUGGUUAACGGGGGGUCCUAACCUCCACUAUGUAGAGACAGGAGUUAACAUCUGAUUCCAGGACUGUGGUUAACGGGGGUCUAACCUCCACUAUGUAGAGACAGGAGUUAACAUCUGAUUCCAGGACUGUGGUUAACGGGGGAUAAAUGUUAGGUCUUUAAUGUCACUGUCGUAAUUAUCUUUUCUAUUGUUAUUACUACACUCUAAUCACUGUUCAUAUCAGCUGUCUGUCACUACACAGCCUGUCUGUCGUUGACCUGUCCUAGACUGUCUGUCUGGAACGGACCUGUCCUAGACUACACAACCUGUCUGUCUGUCUGUAACGGACCUGUCCUAGACUACACAACCUGUCUGUCUGUCUGUCUGGAACUGACCUGUCCUAGACUACACAACCUGUCUGUCUGUCUGUCUGGAACUGACCUGUCCUAGACUACACAACCUGUCUGUCUGUCUGUCUGUCUGUGACUGACCUGUCCUAGACUACACAACCUGUCUGUCUGUCUGUCUGUCUGUGACUGACCUGUCCUAGACUACACAACCUGUCUGUCUGUCUGUCUGUCUGUAACGGACCUGUCCUAGACUACACAACCUGUCUGUCUGUCUGUCUGUAACGGACCUGUCCUAGACUACACAACCUGUCUGUCUGUCUGUAACGGACCUGUCCUAGACUACACAACCUGUCUGUCUGUAACGGACCUGUCCUAGACUACACAACCUGUCUGUCUGUCUGGAACUGACCUGUCCUAGACUACACAACCUGUCUGUCUGUCUGGAACUGACCUGUCCUAGACUACACAACCUGUCUGUCUGUCUGUCUGUAACGGACCUGUCCUAGACUACACAACCUGUCUGUAACGGACCUGUCCUAGUCUACACAACCUGUCUGUCUGUAACGGACCUGUCCUAGACUACACAACCUGUCUGUCUGUCUGGAACUGACCUGUCCUAGACUACACAACCUGUCUGUCUGUCUGGAACUGACCUGUCCUAGACUACACAACCUGUCUGUCUGUCUGUAACUGACCUGUCCUAGACUACACAACCUGUCUGUCU